AAAAGAACUUUGAAGAGAGAGUUAAAAAGUGCGUGAAACCGUUGAAAGGGAAGCUGAUGGGUGCAGUGUCUCGUACAGUUGGCAUCUCAGUCCAGAUCGGCCGAAGGCAGUGGCAAUAUUCUUGUCAGCGUGUUANAGCGCGGCUUGUUACUGUUCUACACGGUCGAGAUGGGUGCACUAUGCCGAUUGGGGCCUCUGGAUGCGUUUGAUGGGCAGGAUAAAACCGCAUUUUGGUAAAUCGCUUCGGCUUUUGAUUAUCUUGCGGCCCAAAACUGCCUGUUGGACGGAGGGCUUUGUAUAGAAAAGGACUCGGCUCAGCCGUGAGAUUCAAUGGUUGUGUGUUUGGUGGUGUUGGGUGUACACUUUUUCGGAAGUUUGCGUUCAAUUUCAUUCUGUCAUCACAUGGCUAGUCUCACUGAGUUUCUCUAGAUCCAGAGUAAAUGU
rnacentral:rRNA from 1 species